rnacentral:rRNA from 1 species
UACAAAGGGUGCAAGCGUUGUUCGGAAUUAUUGGGCGUAAAGAGCGUGUAGGCGGUUCGGUAGGUCCGUUGUGAAAACUCGAGGCUCAACCUCGAGACGCCGAUGGAAACCAUCGAACUAGAGUCCGGAAGAGGAGAGUGGAAUUCCUGGUGUAGCGGUGAAAUGCGCAGAUAUCAGGAAGAACACCCGUGGCUAAGGCGGCUCUCUAGUACGGUACUGACGCUGAGACGCGAAAGCGUGGGGAGCGAACAGG